CGGUGCGAUCAUACCAGCAAUAAUGCACCGGAUCCCAUCAGAACUUCCGAAGUUAAGCUUGCUUGGGCGAGAGCAGUACUAGGAUGGGUGACCUCCUGGGAAGUCCUCGUGUUGCACCCCUC
rnacentral:rRNA from 1 species